rnacentral:rRNA from 1 species
GAUGAAUGCUGGCGGCGUGCCUAACACAUGCAAGUCGAGCGGCAGCGCGAGUAGUUUACUACUUGGCGGCGAGCGGCGGACGGCUGAGUAACGCGUGGGAAUAUGCCCCAAAGUGAGGAAUAACUGCCCGAAAGGGUAGCUAAUGCCGCAUAUGAUCUUCGGAUUAAAGGAUUUAUCCGUCUUGGGAGUAGCCUGUGUACGAUUAGGUAGUUGGUAGGGUAAUGGCCUACCAAGCCGACGAUCGUUAGCUGGUCUGAGAGGAUGACCAGCCAGACUGGAACUGAGACACGGUCCAGACUCCUACGGGAGGCAGCAGUGAGGAAUCUUCCACAAUGGGCGAAAGCCUGAUGGAGCAACGCCGCGUGCAGGAUGAAGGCCUUCGGGUUGUAAACUGCUUUUAUAAGUGAAGAAUAUGACGGUAACUUAUGAAUAAGCACCGGCUAACUACGUGCCAGCCGCCGCUGUAA